rnacentral:tRNA from 1 species
GGGGGAUUAGCUCAGCUGGGAGAGCACCUGUUUGCAGCAGGGGGUCGUCGGUUCGAUCCCGUCAUCCUCCACCA